GUGUGAAAGUAAAGAUUUACCUGAUACAGUUAGAACAGUAUUAAAACAAGAAAUGAAUCGUCUUUUUGGAGCAACGAAUCCAAAGAAUUUUAAUGAAACUUUUCUGAAAAGGAAUUCUGAUUCAUUGCCACACAGAUUAUCAGCUGCCAAAAUGGUAUAUUACUUAGAUCCUUCUAGUCAGAAGCGAGCUAUAGAGUUGGCAACAACACUUGAUGAAUCUCUCACUAACAGAAACCUCCAGGUAAAGAGUUUUUCAUAAUCUCUCUGUAAGAAUACUUAACUACUUUUUUCACCAAGAGAAAUAAUUGGGUAUUUAUACACACUGUUUUUUAAAUCAUUGUGAAUCUGGGUCAGAAACAACUUAUCUUAAAAUUUAUUUAGGCUGCUUGGCAUUCAGUAACUAGUUUCACAUCUGUAGCUUGGAAUAACUUUUUAAGAAAUAUGUUUUAAUAAAAUCAUAUACAUUCCAUCGUCAUUUUUGGAUUUCACCUCAUAUCUCUGCAUUUCUGAGCAAGCAGUGGUCUCAGUGGAGAUUCUAACAUGUUUAAAAUGUAUUUU
rnacentral:sRNA from 1 species